AUUAUACCCCACCACGCGCAUUGAAAAACGGCGAGGUUUUUUCCCCACGUAGGUUAUCUUGAUUUUAAACGCUUUUUUUUCCUAAACUCAGAUCCCCUCUCCUCUUUCUGGGCACACGACGAGGAAUAUAUUGAAUUUACGAUACGUGUGUGUGUUUUUUUCUCAUUUAACUAUAAUUCGUUAAAACAUCGAAAAAGCGAAGUAAAAAAAAAAAAUCGUACGAAAAUCGACUACAAAGGCAAAAUAAAAUUGCGUAUUCUAUUCCUACAGUACGAUACGAAACGAAUAUAUUGUUGUUGACCUAUAACUUCC